GACGAACGCUGGCGGCGUGCUUAACACAUGCAAGUGGAGCGACGAACCAGGCUUCGGCCUGGGGCAGAGCCGCGAACGGGUGAGUAACACGUGGGUAACCUGCCUCGAUGACCGGGACAACCCGGGGAAACCCGGGCUAAUACCGGAUGUGCUGCCUUCACAUCAGUGGAGACAGGAAAGGAAGCUUCGGCCUCCGCAUCGAGAUGGGCCCGCGGCCCAUUAGCUUGUGGUGAGGAAUGGCUCACCAAGGCCGCGAUGGGUAGCUGGUCUGAGAGGACGAUCAGCCACACUGGGACUGAGACACGGCCCAGACUCCUACGGAGGCAGCAGUGGGGAAUCUUGCGCAAUGCGCGAAAGCGUGACGCAGCAACGCCGCGUGGGGGAAGAAGG
rnacentral:rRNA from 1 species